rnacentral:rRNA from 1 species
CGGACGGGUGAGUAACACGUGGGUAACCUGCCCAUAAGACUGGGAUAACUCCGGGAAACCGGGGCCAAUACCGGAUAAUAUUUUGAACUGCAUGGUUCGAAAUUGAAAGGCGGCUUCGGCUGUCACUUAUGGAUGGACCCGCGUCGCAUUAGCUAGUUGGUGAGGUAACGGCUCACCAAGGCAACGAUGCGUAGCCGACCUGAGAGGGUGAUCGGCCACACUGGGACUGAGACACGGCCCAG